CAUACUCAGGACGCCGAGCGAGAAGACCAUAUACGCAACACAUAAUGAAUAUGCUCGAUGCAACAAACAUGCACACGAGAAUUAGUUUCGCAACAAAUAAUAGAGCGCUCUGCUUCGAGUAUAUGGAGGGAAGAAUCUUUACAAGUAUAUUUCUGAUGAAUCAUGUGCUUUUGAUUGGCACACACGAUACAAAAUAGUUAAGGAAAUUUGCGAGGGUUUAAAUCAUCUUCAUAAUGGGAGGUUGAGUGAUAUAUUUUAUCAUGUGGACUUGAAACCAGACAACAUAUUGUUGGGUAGAAACAUGAUGCCUGAAAUUGUAGAUUUUGGUAUAUCUAUACUCUUGGCUUCACCCAAGACGUAAAACUAUGAAAGGAAGAUUCUAAGUUA